rnacentral:rRNA from 1 species
GUGCCAGCAGCCGCGGUAAUACCGGCAGCCCAAGUGAUGGCCGAUCUUAUUGGGCCUAAAGCGUCCGUAGCUGGCCGCGCAAGUCCAUCGGAAAAUCCACCCGCCCAACGGGUGGGCGUCCGGUGGAAACUGUGUGGCUUGGAACCGGAAGGCUCAGAGAGAACGUCCGGGGUAGGAGUGAAAUCCCGUAAUCCCGGACGGACUACCGAUGGCGAAAGCACUCUGAGAAGACGGCUUCGACAGUGAGGGACGAAAGCCAGGGUCUCCAACCGGAUUAGAUACCCUGGUAGUCC